CAAUCUCAUAGUUUAAUGUAAAAUAUAAAUUUUGGGGAUUUAAGAUCUUAGUUAUAUUAAGUAGGUUGA
rnacentral:tRNA from 1 species